GCCCUCAUAGUUUAGUGGAUAGAACAUCGGUCUUCGGAACCGAGAACGGGAGUUCGAUUCUCUCUGAGGGCA
rnacentral:tRNA from 1 species